rnacentral:rRNA from 1 species
UACAGAGGUCUCAAGCGUUGUUCGGAUUCAUUGGGCGUAAAGGGUGCGUAGGCGGCGCUGUAAGUCUGGUGUGAAAUCUCGGAGCUUAACUCCGAAACUGCAUUCGAUACUGCCGUGCUUGAGGACUGGAGAGGAGACUGGAAUUUACGGUGUAGCGGUGAAAUGCGUAGAUAUCGUAAGGAAGACCAGUGGCGAAGGCGGGUCUCUGGACAGUUCCUGACGCUGAGGCACGAAGGUCAGGGGAGCAAACGGG